UCUCAUUUAUCAAAUUUUUGAAUAUUAAAAUGUGGUCACUCUGAGUGUGGAAAGAAAACUCUAGAGUCAUUGAAGAUGUUGUUCCUCAUAGUUGGAUUGAGGCUAAUGUAUUGCGUUGGCCACCAAAAGGAUUUUCUGGGAAAAAACCUAUGAAUAAAAGAAUUCCACCUAGUGAUAAUUGGCUAUCUUUUCUAAUUUUAAAAAUAAAUUUGACACAUGGUUAGUUACUUAAAUUUAUUAAUUUGACAUUUACUUUCUAAUUCAAACAUUGCAUCAUCAUAUAAGGGCCAGCUUAGCUGUUUUGUAGACCUGGGGGAAAAAACAAUCUUAAUUUUAUGGAGAAUUAAUUAGACAAAACUAUAAAUUUUUUUAACUUGUUAAUUGUUUUUAGUUUUAAAUAGGUUUUUUAAUAGGUUUAAAACAUUUUUUGUCUUUAUGAUUCAAAGGUUUUUUAGGUUAAGAGAUUAGAUGUUACAGUCCGCUUUUUUUUCUCCUCCAGGGCCAUAGCAAAUGCCACAUCUGCACUGUAGAUAAUCUUAUUCAGCAUAACAUGUUUAAACCUUGAACAUGUAUUACAAAUGUUAUGAUGUGUAAUACAUUUUAUAGUUGUAUUAAUUUAAUAGUUUAUAUAUAUUUUGUAGAGGAUAAAACUGAGUGCAUGACACGUGAGUAUACAAGUCAGGAUUAAGGAAUAAAGGAGAAAGAAAAAAACAUCAAUGAGAUUGAGUUUCAAGAAGUUGGAAUUGAUUUACCGGUGUUUCAUGAUGAUACAAAUUUUAAGCGCUUAGGAAAAAAUAAUAAUUCACACCUAAAGCAAAAAACACGUUCAAUAAGUGAUAGUGAUGAUUGUGACGACUCAACAUUGGAUUCCCCAAUUUUAAGAAAGGCUUCAAAACAAAAAAGUGCUAUCAUAAAUGGUUUUCAACAACAAGUUCUUGCACUUUAAGAAAAAGUUGUUAAAUGGAUGAGAGAUAUAUCAAAUAGUUUAUCUUUACCGACGACUUCAAAUAAUCAACUCAACAAACUCCAGUAUUUUUAUUUGAUAUUGAGUGUGUAAAAUCAAAAGAGGAGUUUUUUUUGUUUGAAGAAAAUAUGAAAGUGGAUUUAUUUGUAGAAGAAAAAAUUGUACAACUUAAGCAAAUAGGAGGGCUUGACUAUAAAGAUACAAUAAAGAACAUAAUGAAGCGAUUUUUUUCCGAUUUUGCCAUGCGUGAGAUGAACAUGAAUGGUACCGGAGGAAUUUAGUAUUACUAGUUUUUGGCGGAACCGAGACCUACAAACCAAUUUAUAAAGUAGUCAUGCUCAAGUUCCCAAAGAUGACGGAAAAAAAAUUUCAUCAAGUCGUUCAGAGCCUCCUUAAAAAUGCCCCUGCUCGAUUAAAAAAGAAAGCAGUCAUAUAAAAAAUGACAAUAAUAUUGUAUAUUUUAUUGAAGAUAAAGUUUCUUUUACAAUUUGGUUAUUAAUCUUAUAUGUAAAAAAAAUACAAAAUAUGAUUUUAAAUAUAGUUUAUAUGUAAUCAGCUUUAUUAA